rnacentral:rRNA from 1 species
AUUGAACGCUGGCGGCAGGCCUAACACAUGCAAGUCGAGCGGAUGAAGGGAGCUUGCUCCUGGAUUCAGCGGCGGACGGGUGAGUAAUGCCUAGGAAUCUGCCUGGUAGUGGGGGAUAACGUCCGGAAACGGGCGCUAAUACCGCAUACGUCCUGAGGGAGAAAGUGGGGGAUCUUCGGACCUCACGCUAUCAGAUGAGCCUAGGUCGGAUUAGCUAGUUGGUGGGGUAAAGGCCUACCAAGGCGACGAUCCGUAACUGGUCUGAGAGGAUGAUCAGUCACACUGGAACUGAGACACGGUCCAGACUCCUACGGGAGGCAGCAGUGGGGAAUAUUGGACAAUGGGCGAAAGCCUGAUCCAGCCAUGCGGCGGGUGUGAAGAAGGUCUUCGGAUUGUAAAGCACUUUAAGUUGGGAGGAAGGGCAGUAAGUUAAUACCUUGCUGUUUUGACGUUACCAACAGAAUAAGCACCGGCUAACUUCGUG